CCCGGGCGCGGGAGGAUCCGGAAGCCCUGCUUCCCCGGAGGAAACAGCUGCCAUGCUGGCUUGUCCCGCAGUGCAGUGGAAACCACAGCCAGUGCCCUGGGAUGUGCGAGGCAGUGUCUCCCCUAGACUCCUGCAUCCUGUCCAAAUGCAACCCUCUCCCCUCUUCUACUUGUUCAUGGGAACGGUUUAAGGAGUGAAGCUCUACACAGAAAGAGAGAGGAUACAGUGUCACAGCUGUGGCUGGCAUAGAUGAUACAGGGGAUACAACACAGUGCCUGUGGAAACAGAAGAAGAAUAUUUUGUGCUUUAGUGAGAAUAGCACAGUAGGAGAGAAAGCAUGUAAUGGAUAAAAAUCUGUCUUUGAACAGGAUCCUGAGUGUGAUCAUUCGAAAUGGGAAAUUUGCCUUUUGGUUUAUGCGAGGGAAUCAGUGGGCUUUUAAUUGCCGUUCUGGAGUUUCUGCUCUAGCACCGAAUGUUCAGCCCUCCAGGCUGCAGGCCUGGCGUACAGCUUUCCCUGCCUCUUACGGUUUCCCUCAUACUGAGGAUCCAGUCCAUGUAAGUCUGCAGAGCAAAGUGCRCUGAAGUCUCAGUCUCUGAAGCACUUCAGAACCACAGCUCUCUGGCAAAGAAAAUGUUCACAGCAGGUGAGAAGGAAAUAAAAUGGGAGGAGGAAGAAAAGACA
rnacentral:lncRNA from 1 species